rnacentral:lncRNA from 1 species
AGUUGUCUAUCUCAUGGUUUGUAUUUUUACUUUUCUAUAGCUUUCACCUCAACUAGGUAUAAACUCCUUGAGAGUCAUCUUUGAUAUAUCUUGUUGACAUGGUUUAUUAGAGAAGGAGAUGCAUAAGUAAGCUAACUGGCAUUGACCCUUUUUUUUUUAAUUACAUGAUAUGUCUCAAGACAAAGUAGGUCACUAAGAAGAUAGGAAGAUAGGGAUGGAGGUCUUAGCAAUGCAUAAGAGAUGUGCAAACAAGAGCACAAUGUUCCACCUCUUUUCCAGAAUGGUGAUGAUCUGGCAUGAUGCUCCAGCUCUAUCUGAACAAAGUGGCUCCUUUCACUUCAGCAACCCAAGAUUGUGGAAGGUACUCAACGGGACACUGAAACUUUUCAAGAUGUGAUGGUUCUAUUAGACUCCUUUGUGAGUGUGUAUACUUCAGUCUCAAGUGUUUCAUUGGAGAGAAGAAUUAAUUCCCUUUCCGUGGAAGGAACUCUCCCACCAGGCACAGGAUGCAUUCUGCCCGAACCUGACAGAUCCAUCAUGUUCCUACUGGAUCGAUAUGGGCCUCAGUCUUGCCGUCACCGUGGCUUGCGUUCAGUGUCAGUAAUUCUCAGAUUGCUUACCUACAGAUGCAGUGAGGGGGAACCAGUGACCGCAUAGAGCCCCCGGCUUCUUACUGCCAUACACAAUUAUUGGAAGAGAGGAGUGCAGGCCCAGGGAUGGCACCAGAAGGAAUGUGGUUUUUCUCUUCAUUAUGCUCUCGAUAAAAUCAGAUGGUAUUCCAUCAACCAACUUUUUCAACGGAGGUUUAUAUCACCUUGCUGAAAAAUAUGUGCCAAGUGCAUGGCCACUGACAGGGAAAGUCUGCGUCUUCCAUGCGUGCAAGCAAGAUUUUCCAUCCAUUAACUCUGUUCUCUAUGCUGAAGAUCUUGUUGAUGGCAAACGAAAUAAUACCCAAAUGUAUCGGCUCUUUCAAUGCUAUUGAAAGACCACCGCAAAACCACCCAAAUGUGGGUUUCGGGCACGCGUGCCUGUUUUCAGACACGCUUGCAUUUAGCACAAGCAAAUGCUAAAUAGUUAUGCAUUAACAAUACGCUUCGUAUAUCAGCGAUACUCUCUCUUUCGGUUAAUGAUAUGAUGACUAUGUAACAGGCGGUUUACUUGCUCACUUUCAGAUUUCCAAAGAAAUGCACCGAUUGAAUAUAAAAAUAGAAAGAAAAAAAUGUUUGAAAUGAGAGAAGAGAAAAAUCCAAAUACCAGGAAGUUUAAAGCAUUUCUGCUGGAUCCACUUUAUUCAAGAUAGAGCAAAUUUCAGGACUGGGAUGUGACUCUUCUCACGGGAAGGGCAUGCAUACCGGAAAGGAAAGGGAGGAAACCUGGCAGAACGCUGCUGGUAUUUCUGAGGGCGUGAGAUAUGUGUGUGCAUGCUUGUGUGUGCGUGCGUGUGUGUGUGAGAGUGAGAAAGAGAAUGAGAGAGAUGUUAGGGGAAGCAUGUGGCUUGGGGGACAUGGGAAAAUCAAGAGAUCUGAGUGAGUGCAUCUGGGUCCCGUUAGGGACCGGAAAGUGAUUCUGGUUCUAGGUCAAGCCUGAAGAUUAUGCAGAUAUUAUUUGCAUGUUUACACCUAAUGUGGUUCUUUAUUAUAAUAUUUAUUUAUUUUUGAGAGAGAGAGAGAGAGAGAGAGAGCACAAGUGGGAGAGGGCAGUGAGAGAGGGAAAUACAGAAUCCAAAGUAGGCUCUAGGCUCCGGACUGUCAGCACGGAGCCUGACGCGGGGCUUGAACUCACGAACCGGGAAAUCAUGACCUGAGCGCAAGUGGGACACUCAAUCCACUGAGCCACCCAGGCAACCCCUGAUGUGGCUCUUCAUCCCAGGCAAACAUGGUGAUUAUUACCAGGGCUGGCUGUGGAUGAAGAAAGACAUGCCAGGGAAUUAAAAAAAAAAAAAAAAAAGGCACUGGGCCAGCAUAGAGAAAUGUUCCAGCACAAGGUAACACUGUCACAGCACUUACCUUUCACUGGGCUUCCUCCCUUCCCACCCGCUGCUGCACUUGUUGGGUCACUGACCACGCACAGGAAAUACUGUGUUAAUUCUAAACGUCACACUUCUCACAUCAUUUGGGACUGAUUUAGGAAAAGACUUACACUGGUCUUAUGCAAAAUAUGAAAUGAGAGAAGAGAAAAUAAAAUAAUUGUUUUUUUAGGUAAACGAGAUACC